rnacentral:rRNA from 1 species
GACGAACGCUGGCGGCGUGCCUAAUACAUGCAAGUCGAACGAGAGCGACCGGUGCUUGCACUGGUCAAUCUAGUGGCGAACGGGUGAGUAACACGUGGGUAACCUGCCCAUCAGAGGGGGAUAACAUCCGGAAACGGAUGCUAAAACCGCAUAGGUCUUCGAGCCGCAUGGCUUGAAGAGGAAAAGAGGCGCAAGCUUCUGCUGAUGGAUGGACCCGCGGUGCAUUAGCUAGUUGGUGAGGUAACGGCUCACCAAGGCCGUGAUGCAUAGCCGACCUGAGAGGGUGAUCGGCCACAUUGGGACUGAGACACGGCCCAAACUCCUACGGGAGGCAGCAGUAGGGAAUCUUCCGCAAUGGACGCAAGUCUGACGGAGCAACGCCGCGUGAGUGAAGAAGGUUUUCGGAUCGUAAAACUCUGUUGUUAGAGAAGAACAAGUGCUAGAGUAACUGUUAG